rnacentral:rRNA from 1 species
UACGUAGGGUGCAAGCGUUAAUCGGAAUUACUGGGCGUAAAGCGUGCGCAGGCGGCUGUGUAAGACAGAUGUGAAAUCCCCGGGCUCAACCUGGGAACUGCAUUUGUGACUGCACAGCUGGAGUGCGGAAGAGGGGGAUGGAAUUCCGCGUGUAGCAGUGAAAUGCGUAGAUAUGCGGAGGAACACCGAUGGCGAAGGCAAUCCCCUGGGCCUGCACUGACGCUCAUGCACGAAAGCGUGGGGAGCAAACAGG